CGAUUGAGUUGAUUACGUGUUCAUUUUUCUUUACACUUCAGGUCGGUCUGGCUCAACAUUUUUCACUUAACCUUUUUUUCCUCAUUUUUAAAUUGUUCCUGCUCUUGUAGACGUUUAUUCAACAUCUAAUUGUUAAUCAGUUUUUAUCCUCUUCUAACAUUUUAUUUAAUUUGUCUCUUCACUUUACUUUAUUCUUUCCCUUAUGUAAGAUGUAAGGUUUACACAUUUACACAAACACACAUUCAUAUAACAGCCAUAGAUACAUACCAUGUAUAUUUAACCGUACGUGUUACUCUUUUUGACUAAUCCACACACUCAACUUUACUGAAGGAUCAAUCUCCUUUUUUUCAUUUCCAGUGUGUACCAGGGACAAACAAAACUGGUUUUCACAAUGGUUUGACAGAAAACAUUUGAUUAUUCUGAGAUCAUUGUGAAAGCUGUUUCUGUAGUCUCGUCCCCAUCAUCAUCGUCGUGAAAAAAAGUAGAUUCUCAAGUUUAUUUUAGGCCUCAACGUUAUGUACAUAAUGAUAUACAGCCUUAGGCCUUUAAACUGAGGAACAACUUUUUUGGAUCUACAUCCUCUUAUAGCUUUUGAACGUGAAAAUUUCAUCUCGUUGAAUAACGAAUGGACGAUUUCUUUUGGAGGAUUUCAGUGAAUCGAUUCUAGUCACUAUUCUGGUUGUCACACUUAUCCCAAUUAAACGAGAACUGUAUCAUUUGUACUUCUAGACAGAGGAAUUUGUAAAAAUCAUUGAGAAUUAUUAGUAUUUCCGGCCAACAGCAGAGACUAAUAAAUUAUUAACAAGAUUAAAUGUCAUUGUUAAUAUUUUAACACAAAAAGAAAA